rnacentral:rRNA from 1 species
GACGAACGCUGGCGGCGUGCUUAACACAUGCAAGUCGAACGGAAAGGCCCUGCUUUUGUGGGGUGCUCGAGUGGCGAACGGGUGAGUAACACGUGAGUAACCUGCCCUUGACUUUGGGAUAACUUCAGGAAACUGGGGCUAAUACCGGAUAGGAGCUCCUGCUGCAUGGUGGGGGUUGGAAAGUUUCGGCGGUUGGGGAUGGACUCGCGGCUUAUCAGCUUGUUGGUGGGGUAGUGGCUUACCAAGGCUUUGACGGGUAGCCGGCCUGAGAGGGUGACCGGCCACAUUGGGACUGAGAUACGGCCCAGACUCCUACGGGGGGCAGCAGUGGGGAAUAUUGCACAAUGGGCGGAAGCCUGAUGCAGCAACGCCGCGUGCGGGAUAACGGCCUUCGGGUUGUAAACCGCUUUCGCCUGUGACGAAGCGUGAGUGACGGUAAUGGGUAAAGAAGCACCGGCUAACUACGUG